rnacentral:lncRNA from 1 species
GACAACACUGAAAAUAUGGUAUCUGGUUGGCCAUUUGUUGAAAGGGAGCAAAUCUCUUCAGUGGUAUAGUGAAGGCCCAUGCUUAUUUAGAGAAAAUGAGAGACAUGAAGCAUCUAAGAAGACAGGAAAUAAAAGAAAUGUACCAUUUAACAGUGACGAAAACGAGUACAGCAGCACAUCCAAAUCCCUUGCUGCCUGGAGGACUGCAGUGGCACACUGAUUAGGCAGCUAAGCCCGCAGGUUAUUUCAGGGGUACCACUACUCAUCUUGACAGGAAACAUUCACUGGGGACAUGAUUUAGUUGGAAGGAAAUUGAUCCACGAUUUUAUUUCUUCAUAAUAGAUUUAGGU